AACAGAAGAUAGGAAAGAAUGAAUUAAGCUGGGAGAUCCCAAGUUGGAAGAGAUCUAUUUUAAGCAUUGUCCUUUUCAACAUAACGUGGGUCUUUUUACUUCUCAUGUAGUAUGACUCCUUAUGGUGACAAAGAUCAGUGGGACUUCCAGUGCAGUUGGUGUGCAACCUGUGGAGAGUUCCUGGUCUGCCAAGAGACUGGGCAGGCAGGGGAUUUCCCUGGCUGGAUGGAUAUACCCUGAGACACAUACAGGUGGAUAGCAUUUGAACUCUCCUAACAGCAGGUGAGCAGCAUGAUUCCAUAACCCCUGGAUUUCAUAAAAUCAUAGCACCGUUGAUGUUGGAAAGACCAUUAAGAUCAUCCAGCUCAACCAACAACCCAUGCCUGCAACCGCUCUAGACCAUGUCACUCAGCGUGACUAAUUUCACAUCUAUUCUAUUAAAAAUAAUAUCUAUGUUGCCCAACAUUUUCUGAGCAACUUCAGAUUUUCCCUCUGAAAGGCUGAUUUCAGACUCAGAACAAGAGAAAAUGUUUUCUUUUUGUUUUCUUCAGAGAAAUAUGCCGUGCUCUCCUGGGAAAGGGUAAACAGAAAGGCCAACACUGGGUUACAUUUAUUUAUUUAUUCCCCUAUGCAUCUCUCAGUCCUGUGUACCAUGGGCUCCAUGCAUUCAAAAGUGAUGGACUACAGAAAAAAGAAAAUGAAAUGAAGAAGAAAACUCACAGUUGGUGUGCCAGAACAGCAACAAGCAGGAGCAACUUUGUCCCUGCAAAGAGCUGAGCACCUGUCUUGCAGAAGCUGUGAGCAGACAGCCAACCCAUGCCUUCCUGUUAUCUCAGGGUAACGCGCUAUAACAGUCUACCAAGAGGAUUCACAUCAUGGACAUGAACGCACUCACAUACGUUCUUCUCCCCACUAUUCCCUCAACAUGAAGAUGAAGUUUCUCAGGAGACAAAGAACUGUUCAACACUGUUAUGAAAUCGAGGACAGAAAUCCAACUGGGAUAAUGUGCAAAGCGUGUGGAAUUAAGGCAAGAAUCACAGAAUUGCAGGAAUUGGAAGAGACCUCAAGAGUCCAACCCCUGCUAAAGCAGGUUCCCUACAACAGGUCACACAGGUGGGCGUUGAAAUAGUUCUUGAAUAUCCCUGAAUAUCCCUGGAGAAAGAGACUCCACAACUUCUCUGGGCAGCCUGAUCCAGUGCUCUAUCACUCUUACUGUAAAGAAGUUCUUCCACAUGUUAGUACAGAACUUCCUAUGCUCAGGUUUUAGGCCAUUACUCCUUGUCCUAUCACUACGCACCACUAAGAAGAGCCUGGCCUCAUUCAUUUGCUUCCCACCUCCCUUUAGAUAUUUAUAAACAUUAAUCAGAUCCCUUCUAAGUCUUCUUUUCCCUAGGUUAAACAGACCCAUGUUACUCAGCCUUUCCUCAUACGGGAGAUGCUCCAGGCUCUUUAUCAUCUUUAUCAUUCAGAAAAGCUUAGGGCUGAAGACAGAAGAUUUUGCUGUGUAUUUCCAUUCCAUGCUGUGCUUGAUGGAGCAGUAAGGCAACAUUUUAGUUUGAACAUGGAGACAAGCCUCUGUUGCAGAGCAAUACAUCUAUGGGCUGGCUUCCCAUCUGGCACAAAUAAUUGCCUCAGUCUAUAGUGAAAUUGGUCAACCAUAGAAUCCUCUAUAGUUAGUGGCGUAAGGAAAUUCUACAGAAUACUCUGUUUAGAGCUUCAGAAUUCAGAGCACACAUCACAGGAUAUCAGUGUGACUGCUUUUACCCCUUGAUUACGAGGGGAAGUUAAGGGUGAUUAUGUCCCUACAUUACGUGCCUUAAUCUGAUGGGAACAGUGCUGGUAUAAACAUCAGCUGCCUGAGAAAUUUACUGCAAACAUCAUGCAGAGGGUCCUUAUUUUCUUUUCCUCUCUCACCAUGGACUCAAUCUUUCCCUUUCUCCCCCUUCUAUAAAUCUGCAGACACACACUGAGGCAUUUUAUAUCAGAAAUAUAGGACUUGUUUAGAUAAACAUUUUGCCAUUACUGAUCUAACAGUUACCAUCACCAUUUUCAGUAUAAGGAAAUUCAUCAAAUUUUUGUUCUUAAAGCAGGAGAAUUCAUCUGAACCAUGAACAAAGCAGUCCAUACUGGAGUUCAGGAUUAUCUUUUUACUUCUUUCUUUGUGGACUGAAAGUAUGGAGAGGAUAAAACAAAAACAAAAACAAAAGAAACAAAAACAACCUGAAGAAGAGCCUUUGCGAAUAUAUGAUUUAUGGAAAAAAAAUGUGUAAUACGGAAUGUCAGCUCUUCUGGAGGUCUUUUGCCUUUUGGCACUCUCCAUUCAAAGGAGCACCCAAGAUUCCCAGUAUAAUCUGUGGUAUGCAUGUAUGUCUAUUUGUCAUAGCUGCUCCCAGUGGGAGUUUUAGUGCUGAAUGAAGUGUCAGUAAAGGUGCACUGCCAAUGACCAUAUUCAAACAUCCUUUCAUUAAUGCAACCUUACAGUGAUCUUAGCUCUGUCCAUGUUCCUAAGAAUUUAUUCGGAAUUACACCUUGUCUAUCUUUCCAUGAAGAUGAUGGUUGAUUAAAUGUCUGGAAAACCUUCUAAGUGUCUUUGUUUCUGUUCCACUGAAUAAGUGCUGCAACUGUUGUACGGACAGGAGAAAUAGAUAUGAAGAAGCCUUCACAACAAGGAAGGCAUUUGUGGUGUAGGUAUUUCUUUGUUUCCAAUCUGGAGCCCACUAAAUCAGCAAAGUCCCACCCAGCACUUGCUAGAAAGUGUUUUUUAGUCACUCCAGUCUGAGGUGUCUGGCACAUGUAUUUUGCUGCCCACUUUGCAUUUCUUUACUUUAGAACCUUGAAUUUGGAGUUACUUCCACAAAUGUACACCUUUAAUUUUUCACUUAAAGUAGGAUUUCAAAGAGAUUCUCUGAUUACAGCUAAAGUGGCAGUACAAGAAUACUCCUUAAUUCCUGAGUCUUGAUCCACAUCCUCACCGGGUCCAGUUCUGCAGGGCACUAUCUCCUCUCUCUCCCCAUCCCACUACAGCACGCUACUUUCCAUGAGCAGGAAGAAUCACUGAGCAGAAAAGGAUUGGAGGUAUCUUGUUAGCAGAAGCCUAAAUUCCCAGUCCAUGAACGUACACCUCCACUGCAUGACAUAGAAAUCUUUGCUCACAGUUCACAAAUACUUGCUCUGAGCCCAUCCAAGUUUGAUUGAUUGGUCAAUGUCCAUAAUAUUUAUUAUUAAUAUUAAUAUUAAACAAUGAGUUUUCUUCCAUUUAACAAAACUAAAUGGAUGGUGAUCAAAUGAAAUGAAAUAACUGGCUGAAAAUUUGGGAUGAACAGAGUUCCUUCAGCCAUCAGUUCUAGCAACCUGAUGUUCUUGCUCUCUCUUCAGUGUACUGAGACAAGAAUUUAGAGAUCAUUUCCAUUUAUCUUUCAUUUGUUCAUGUAGAAAAUAACAAACUAAAAAUUUGUAUCUGAGCAAUUUGUGAAAUGAGAAUUUUUCUAAUUCAGCAUAUGUGUCUCUUUUUAUCAUUUCAGUGGCUGAACAUCCAUACCAUCAAUGGAAAUGGAGACUAAGUCUUUAUCUGAGUCCAUAUCACAUCUAUGGGAGUUUUUCCAUUGACCUCAAUGGGUCAAAGGGAUCAAGUAUUUUAUUUUAUUUUAUUUUAUUUUAUUUUAUUUUAUUUUAUUUUAUUUUAUUUUAUUAUUUUAUUUUUUUGUUAGAAUUUCUUUCCAUCAAGUUGGAGAAACAGGAUGUAAAUAUUGAGUCACCGUCCCCAUUGCUAACCAUGCACCAAGAUUAGCCAGUUGGACUUGGUGUGGGACUUACCUCCUAAGAGGUCAUGAUCCCCGUGACCGAGGAGCCCAUUCAGGUAGGGAUGAGUGAAUUUUUGCUUUGAAAUAGAUGUCAUCCAUCAGUAGAUACUACAAGCAAGACCUCAAGUUCCAGAAAUUUCAACACUUUCAAGUCAAGGUAAUAUCCAUUUGCUCUGCUGAAUUCAGAUCUUUAAUUUUAGAGCAGGCAGGACUUUGCAGCCUGGAAUACAUUAACACAGAGAAACAAUCAUUUAAUGUAGUAGCCAAGUAGUCAGGUCACUGACAAUUUACAGAGUAAAUACUUAGAAAUAGUCUCUAUCUUUAUUGGUGUUUAUAUUCAGAGAUAAUUAGUAACUUGUGCACAGACACAAAGUAAUUGAUGUAAUGAUUUAUUUUGAACUUGUUCUUCUCUUGCAAGAGCUGCUUACACAAGGGCAUACAUUAGCUGGUUUGUUGAAAAUAUUUAAUUUUGUAACUCUUUGCUGACCAAGUAUAAAGGCCUAGCACUAAUUGUACAUGUGGAGAAUUGACUUCAAAAUGCUGCUCAAUGAGAAGAGAAAACCUAGUGCAGAGAUGUCCAAAGUGAUGCUUGCUGUGAUACAAGGGGGUGUACUCUUCUCUCCUGUAAAUUACCAUCAUCAGAGUGAGGAUCAUAAGACAGGGGAGGUCACAAGAGGGAAAGUAGCCAUACUGCUACGCAUCUUCAUCCUCUUCUUCUCCUUACAAACAAUGCACUCCCUGUCAGCUUAGUCCUUAUUUCUGCAUGAAAGUGCAUGAGUGCCAGUGGAGAAGGUAAGCCUUUAUUUUGUCCGUGGAAUGGGGUGUGGGGAAUAUCCCGUUCAAGGUUUUAUAUGGCGUAGUGGUUCAGGAAGCACUGCUAAUAUUGCAGGUAGCAACAGUGAGAAGCUAAGCGAUGUAUCACGUUUUCUUUUUGAUUCAUGCUUAUGAUUCAGGGCUGGGAUCCAUCCUGGACUGCUGCUGGUUUGGGCUGUUGGUGAUAAAAUGCCAAAGCGCAGCUCGUUUUACAACUUACAUCUAUUGAAACUGCCAACAGAGCUCCACUGAUGGAGAGUCACACUCUUCCCAACAGCUUUUAGAGCUCAGUGAAACCAAAGCUGCGAAGAAGAUGUAAUAAAAGAAACUGAAGAGGAAGUGAAAGGGAAGAAGACUGUGUGAUUUUUGAGGAAGAAUCUACAUGCAGCUGAAGCCAGUUGGCUUCAUGGAGGGCGUACAAAAGGGAGCAAUGAAGAGAGUGGAUUUCCAGUCACACAAGAACGCAGUGCUUUAACAAUGGCAACAGAUAUCCUCGGCUUAAUGUUUUGUCGUAAUACAUGGAAAGUAAGAAACAGUCCAUUGAUACUGAGCACUUUAAUGAAUAAAAAAAAAAAACGAAAAAAGGUUUCAUUCCAGACUUUAAGAAUGCCAAUAUUGUGUAAUAAAAAUGGUAAACAGAAUGUUCGGAGCUUUUGCUUUGAGUCCCAAAAUGAAAAAAGAUGAAGCUUUAUUACUUUUUUUUUUUUUUAAUACAGUCUAGAGCCUUUCACUUUGGCUGCUAAUACAAAGAUGAUGGGAUAUAACACUGUGACACAGCAGCUGCCUUUUCAAUGAGGAAAGAGCCUCCAAACUUUGGUUUGCUAGUAUGACAUUCACCAAGAGACUAUUUAAUAAAAAAACAUGUAGUAUGAGGUCAGGUAUCUACAAGCUGGAUCCGGAUCCAUUAGUACAAAUGGACUUCAAAGCUUUGAUCCAUCCGUUUCAAACUGAAGGGAUCGUGUUGGCAUGUUUUGAGAGAAUAGACAUAUGCUCUGGAUGUCCAUGUUCCUCUUCAUCAAAAUCACUUCUGUGUGGUCAAGAGGAAGCAAGUGUGAGGAUGACUUGAGACGGGCAGUGGGUGCCCAUCUUCAUGCGCUGUACAUUGAGAAUGGCUAAAAAACAAAAAUGAAUUGGAACAGCCAGAAUUCUGAGGAAAAUACCUUAACGCUGGGGAUAUUCAGUUGGAGAACCUCUGUUCAUAACCCUGAGUCAGGGAGCAGGGGUAUUUGAACUGAAGUCAAAAGUAAGUUAACCUAUUGCCUGUGCACUAGGGAGGUAAGGUAGGCUCCAAAACCAGUCCCGCUUUGCAAAAGAGGCCCAAUUUUCCCUGGGAAACCAACCCCGUCCGAUAGAGAUGGUUUGCAUCACAAAUCUCAGCAUUGAGCACAGAUAAUGCUGGGGACUACCCACUGACAAAUUAAAGGUGUACCCAACCCCUCAUUUCCAUAUACAUUCAUUUUAUCAGCAUUGCCACAGGUACAAAAAGAAGGACAAGCACGUGGGAAGUUCCCAAACCUUUGAUUACACAGUACGACGGCACAUUUAUUACCUAGACUCACUGGCUGCUAUCUGUGUCAUUUACUUGGGUGGCUUGUUCUGCCAAGUCCACAUAAGUCAUCAGGAGAAAUGCAAACACGUUUCCAACUUUUAAUAUGAAUUAGAGUCACGGCACAGGCUCUCUCAUGCUUCACUUCUAUGGAAAAUACUUUUUUCUUAUUUUGUACCCGGCAGUUUUCCUCCUACACAUCGUGCAGACAAAUAAACAGCCAUACAAUCUAGCCAAGGAGGUUAGCAGGCCUGAUACUGUGCUGAGCCAGUCUUUUACAUAUGUUAUAUAUUCACCUUUUGUCUGGCAUCUGCAUUGCACUUGGGAAAACACUCGCACGCAAAGGGAUGGGCUCUGGGGAAUGGAGAAACAUUAUCUAGCACGGGAAUACUCAAUUAAUUUUCAGCAAGCAGCUUUUAUAAUACAUAACAUACACUUAACAUAAUACACUUUGGUCUCGUGCCAGAGAUUUUAAAUGAUUAGGCUGUAUCAAUUUACUCUUGAAACACUGAUUAAAAUCUCAAAACUUUCAUAGCAAAUGAUGCAUGAACCAGAAUCUGAAAUGUGAUGAUUGAAAUAUUGCAAUGUCACAGAUUCAUCACACAGCCUUUCCAAAUCUACUCUUGGUUUCAGCUGGCCCCUUAAAUGUUCUGCUCACGCGUCCCAGUGAUCAACUCUUUUCUCUCGCUUCAUCUCCCCCUCCCCAGCCCUUCACUUCUUGGAAAGAUAAUAGCCAGGCCUUAAUUGAAGCAAACAGGUCAUUAAAAUAGUAAUUUUGUAGACAUUUGCACUGACAGACAUUCAUUCACUGCCAAAGACAAGCAAAGAAUCAAGGACUGGAUAUUGCAUGCACAUUAAUUCUACCAUGGGCCCAAUCAAAGUUAAACAUCCUCCUCCCUUCUUACUGUGAGAAAUUUCCACUGGGCACAGAAUUAAAACAAAGAAAACCAAAAAAUAACAAUUCAGCUCUUGCCCUGUGAAUCACACCUUGAAGCAGGCUUUGUCAAACAACGUCACACCUUCUCCAUUGAGAAGGAGGACUCCCAUCUCCCAUUCCUUGGUACACACUCACAUCUAUCAGCUAUUGCAGAUAAGACAGGUCAAGUCACCCCAAUUACUUUUACGAUCUCUCUGUAGGACGGCUCUCAUCACAACAUCAGUAAAAUGCAUUUUUUUUUCUCACCGGAAUCCAGACACUCCAAGCCAAAUUUCCUGCUGUGUAAAGCACCGUGUCCAACGACAUGGCCUGACCUAGAAACCACCACACUGGAGUUUUCUUGAAAUGUUAGUUUAGUAGUGAGCCACAGCAAUAAAUCUAGUAUUGGGUCUCAAAAGUCUGUACAAAUAAGUACACUUGGCCUUCUUUGAGUUGCUGCUUCCAGGACUUUUCCCCAGCUGUAAACCUGCACUGCCUCCAGGGAAGGCGAUGUAUGACCCCGGUAGGCGGCUGGUGAGGGCAUCCUGACUUGCCCCAGGUGGGAGGGCAGGUAGCUGAGCUUGGGCUCAUCCUGUCUGACUCCAGGUCAAGUUCAGAGUCUUAUAACACCAGGAUUUCCCCCCCCCCCACAAUCAGUGGAAGGAGGCACCACCAGUGCCCGUCAGCACUCAAAUGAAGAUACACUUCUGCUGUCCACAGUGACUCUGGAGAGAACUGAGCUAACAAAGCAUUCAAUUACAUGUGUAAAAUGAGGCAGGGUGACCAG